GCCUGGCUCUGUCCACGACAGUCGAUUUUUUGCUAACAGCAGAGUAAGUGUCAUGUAUGAGCAGAAGGCAGUAACUGGCAUCCUCCUUGGUGAUCAAGGUUACGCAUGCUCGCCCUGUUUGAUGACUCCACUGAGGAACUCUCGAACAACUGCAGAGAAAAGGUACAACAGGAGUCACAUUAGAACGAGGAAUUCCAUUGAGCGGACAAGAUUGCUUGCACUUUGCGGGAUCCCAUCCCUAUUGGCGAUGAACCAGAGCCUAAAGAUGCAGGUGUGGAAUUGCACGAACCUGACUCACCUCUGUGCACCCUACAUCGAAGGCACCUUAUCCAGCGUUGCUUCAAAGUGCCCAAAGUGAAGAUGACAGCGAUAUGGACAUUGUGUAGAGCACGAAGGCGAGCCUCCAGCUCCGUCGACAAUGCUGUGUCGACAGCGGCAAGACGGCCACCUUGGCGACGGCGGACAACUGGCUGAGCUCCUGAACCUUGGUCCACGAAAGCUUCUUCUCUGUUUUGGCUGCACGACGGCCUUGAGGUUGCCGUUUCUGCAGGCAGUCCACCACUGCUUAGAGGAGGUGCUGGCGAGCUCUGCUGUGUUGUAGCCUCAGCAAACUCAUUUUCUGCCUGGCUUAGGUCACGGUUCAUCACGAACUCUGGAAGUAACAGUGUUGAUAAAAGUUUCACAGCGUUUUUGAAAAA